AGCUCUCCCCAUCUGCUUCUUGCGCGAUGGCCGCUUCUGAGUCUCCUGAUUCCACACGCAAUUCUCAGUUCCUCCCUGGAUCCCUGGCUAGACACUGUGCCAGAGAAAGACCCCCGACAUGCCCCUGCCUUACCUGGGAGACCCUCUUUCUUCUUUUUCCUCUUAAAUCGUGUGGGCACUUUAGCCUUUGGUGGUGUUUCUCUCACUUCAUUCCUUUCAGCUGUGCUGGCUAAAUGCUGCUGUCCCAGCUCCAGACUCUUCAUGAAGAGGAUCUGGCUUCCUGGCCUGAGGCCCAGAAAUCCCGAAGGUAGGUUUUCCCCAGCAGCCGAAGGAAUCCUCGAGCCGCACCGUGUACUCUAUGGGGCCCCUGACACAUUAGUUACUCCAGGGCCCUGCUAAUCCCACAAGUAAUUUAAAGUUUGGAGUGCCACAUGUGCACAGGGCACAGGUCGAUGCAUACCUGGGAGCUCCAGGGACCACACCCCAUCCCAAUUAGAGGUGGUGACAGGGGCCCAGCCACUGGACAUGGAGAGGAGACCUCAAAAAUGCUGGCUCCCCCCUGAGCUUUCCCUCAGGUGUCAGAGAAACAAAGAUGGUGCUCGCUUCAGGGAAGAGCACCUUGUCCCCAGGUUGAAGUCCUAGAGAUCCAGAAUGGUUGACAAGACAGAUGUCUUCCAACAGCAGCAGCAGCAGCAGCACAAGCUCCAUCUAUGGAGCGCUACCAUGUGCCGGGCACACUGACAAACACCGUACAUAUACGGUAUGCAUGUGACGCAUGUGUGUUGAGCACCUACUUUCAGUCGGCCCAGGAGAUUCGUAUGAUCCCCCGAUGUUUUCAUUUGAGGGACAGCCUUCAAAAAGUUAAGCAAUUUACCAAUGAUCACUAGUGAGUGGCAGAGCUGGGAUUUCAGUCUCAAUACACCUGAUUCUCUUUUUCAUCACUUGUAGUCAUCAUCAUCAUCAUCACCACGACUGUCAUAAUUAUUAGUAGGUAUUACUUGACUUGGAACAAAAUUAAGAUGCAGAAGUGUAUAUAUUAAAAAUUAAGCCUCACUCUCCAAUUACUCAGUCAUUCUCUCUUGCGGCAAGCAAUAUUAGCAAUUUCUUGUGUGAUUUUUUUCCCUAGAGAUAUUCUAUACUAAUAAAUAUUUUUGAGACAAGCUAAGCAGAAAUAUACAUUGUUUUACUAUCUUCCUUUUCUCAUUUAAAAAUAUACAUUGGAGAGUUUUCCUGAAAAAAAA
rnacentral:lncRNA from 1 species